UAAAUUAUUUAUUCAUAACAAUCAAUAUGGCACAUAUUUGAUAAAAUAUUUGGUCAGUGCAAAACAGACAUACACAGCAGGGAUAUUAUUCAAAUUAAAAAUAAAAUAUUAUAAAAUGUAUAUGACAUAUUAUAAAACUAUACAAAACCGUCAAUAUGUAACAGUAUAAAGUAUAUAAUUGUUCUUAAUUUAAUGCCCCAAAUUGUUAUUCAAAACAUUUUCUUGGGUUUAUAUUAUGCAUGAAAUAUUAAUUUAGACAUUGCUUGCAACUUCUUGAUUAAACUGCAUUUCCCCACAUCCCCUUGUGAGAAAUCUGAAGUAGGUUUGGUUAUAUCUGUGUUUGUCAUAGCUCUAAAUGCAUUUUAUACAAAACAGAAGAGGCAAGUAACGCACAAAAAAGGGCCAGGGACUUUAAAUAUAUCACAGAGGUUUCACUACCACACAGUUACUGUUACGGAUUGUGAUAGGUUACCACUAUGUGUAGUUGGUGACGUCACAACAAUUUACUUCCCGCUCUUUACGAUUAAAAGGCUGCUACACGUAAUACAUUUCGGCAUCAUGUGGAGUAGUGGUUACGCGACUGGACUUAAGGCUGGCAGGUACUGGGUUCGCAUUCUGGUACCGGCUGUCACCCAGAUCGAGUUCAACGACUCCAUGAGUAGGUGUAAGGCUAGUGCAUCGAUGUCUCUCCCACUAACCACUAACCCCCUGGCCUGGACAGACAGCCCAGAUAGCUGAGGUGUGCGCCCGGGACAGUGCUUGAACCGUAAGUGGAUAUAAGCACGAAACAGUAUAAACAAAUAAUAAAUUUCGUGGCUAAUUUAUAAUUUUAAAAAUAAUAAUUAAAUAAUACUUCUGAGAAUGCCGCCAUCUCCAAGUCACAAACCGUGCCAAUCUACGAAACGGGCCAAACCAUUAGUACCGUCACCACAUCAUUUUGGGAUGAACUUCACGAAGCCUGAUUAAACGCCUGUGGUUAAACAUUGUAAAUGUAUGUAGUUACUCGCGUGUAAGACAUACACAGACUUUGAAAAUUCGGCCCAUUAUGAUUAGCUACCAGCAUAGGGCGUACGGGCUUCAUGAAAUGAAGGGGGGGGGGGGGGGGGAUUUCGUGAAAUUUAUUUGUGAUAAUACACAUAAAGGUAUAUAGCAUAUACAUGUAUGUAUGUAAUCACAAAUACAUUUUACAAAAAUAAAUUUCGUAUUUUACUUUUAAUGUCAGAUAUUGUGUCGCCAGGGUGUCAUUUCAAACGCUCAGACACUUAACACUUAAUUAUUAAUUAUCUAUGAAUAGGUAUUCCUCCAGUUCUUCCCCAUUCAUCCGCGACCAUAUACAAUGGAACAGUUUUUGACAGGGCGAAGUCAAGCUGAUCAAAGCGAAGUUUUGGCACACUUUGCCCUGUGGCGUGAGCAUAUAUAAUAUAUGUUGCAUGGAGCUACCAAGUGGCCCUGUUUCUGGUUUUAACAGACACUAGGACACACCCAUCACAUAAGAAAUGAAUAUUCUCGAUCGAAAAAAUACAAGAAACUAAGUUUCAACUGAACCUACCAUAGGAGUAAGUAGCUUGAAAGAGAAACAAAAGCAUCAAAGUACAACCAGCACAUGUUUAAUGAAGCACUUGGCGAUUAAAAAAAAUAUUCAAAGAAACCGAACCCUCCCCCCCCCCCCCCACACACACACAAAACAUCUCAGAUCCAACCCGCCCCCCCCCCCC